rnacentral:rRNA from 1 species
UACGAAGGUCCCAAGCGUUGUUCGGAAUCACUGGGCGUAAAGCGUACGUAGGCGGUUAGGUAAGUCAGAUGUGAAAGGCAGGGGCUCAACCCCUGGACUGCAUCCGAUACUGCCUGACUAGAGUCAUGGAGAGGUAAGUGGAAUUCUUGGUGUAGCAGUGAAAUGCGUAGAUAUCAAGAGGAAGACCAAUGGCGAAAGCAACUUACUGGACAUGUACUGACGCUGAGGUACGAAGGCUAGGGUAGCGAAAGGG